rnacentral:tRNA from 1 species
GCGGGAAUAGCUCAGUUGGUAGAGCGCAACCUUGCCAAGGUUGAGGUCGCUAGUUCGAGUCUCGUUUCCCGCUCCA